rnacentral:rRNA from 1 species
GACGAACGCUGGCGGCGUGCCUAAUACAUGCAAGUUGAGCGCUGAAGGUUGGUACUUGUACCGACUGGAUGAGCAGCGCACGGGUGAGUAACGCGUGGGGAAUCUGCCUUUGAGCGGGGGACAACAUUUGGAAACGAAUGCUAAUACCGCAUAAAAACUUUAAACACAAGUUUUAAGUUUGAAAGAUGCAAUUGCAUCACUCAAAGAUGAUCCCGCGUUGUAUUAGCUAGUUGGUGAGGUAAAGGCUCACCAAGGCGAUGAUACAUAGCCGACCUGAGAGGGUGAUCGGCCACAUUGGGACUGAGACACGGCCCAAACUCCUACGGGAGGCAGCAGUAGGGAAUCUUCGGCAAUGGACGAAAGUCUGACCGAGCAACGCCGCGUGAGUGAAGAAGGUUUUCGGAUCGUAAAACUCUGUUGGUAGAGAAGAACGUUGGUGAGAGUGGAAAGCUCAUCAAGUGGCGGUAACUACCCAGAAAGGGACGGCUAACUACGUG